UUAGUGUUCGAGGUUCCGAAGUACGUUUUGAGUUUCAGAAAAUCACCGUUUGACUUGUUGUGGAACCCGAUCAUUGUGGAUUUGUAUGGAUUUGAUUGAUUGACUCUUGCUGAGCAAUUUUAAAAUAAGCUAAGGACCUAAGGUGUGGCUUUAGCUGUUGAGCAACUUGUGGAGCACGGACUCAGUAACAAUGCAAUAAUGGUUUAGAGUUUUCAUAUGGCUGCCUUAAAUUUAAAGUAUUCAUACGUGUAAUAAUUUCUUCUAAUAAGUUUAUAUAAAAGUUUUAAAUUUUUCUGUAUUUCUUCGUAUCAUUUUAUUUAAUUCUUUUGGUCAAGUGCCUUACAUACUCGUAAACCCUAGAAU